AUUGAACGCUGGCGGCCGGCCUAACACAUGCAAGUCGAGCGAGUGGCGGACGGGUGAGUACUGUCUGGGAAACUGCCUGAUGGAGGGGGAUAACUACUGGAAACGGUAGCUAAUACCGCAUACCAUCAGAUGUGCCCCGAUGGGAGUAGCUAGUUGGUGGAGUAACGGCUCACCAAGGCGACGAUCCCUAGCUGGUCUGAUAGGAUGACCAGCCACACGGGAACUGAGACACGGUCCAGACUCCUACGGGAGGCAGCAGUGGGGAAUAUUGCACAAUGGGCGCAAGCCUGAUGCAGCCAUGCCGCGUGUAUGAAGAAGGCCUUCGGGUUGUAAAGUACUUUCAGCGCGGAGGCGUUACUCGCAGAAGAAGCACCGGCUAACUCCGUGCCAGCCGCCGCGGUAAUAC
rnacentral:rRNA from 1 species